rnacentral:misc_RNA from 1 species
UUAACUAUUAUAUAGUACUCAGACGACAUUAAUAUUCAGAGUUUGGGGUUCUCUGGCGAGCACGCACGAGCCGAAGCCCGUGGCCGAGGCGGCUCGCCAAAGCAACAAAGGUUUAAUAACAUAGGGUUGGAGAGUCACCCGUGAGGGCGAUGUUCUCUGUAAUGAUCCCUCCGCAGGUUCACCUACGGAGA